GCGCCCGUAGCUCAAUUGCAUAGAGCAAGGGACUUCUAAUCCCUAGGUUGCAGGUUGGAGUCCUGCCGGGCGCGCCA
rnacentral:tRNA from 1 species